UAGCAUAUCAGAAGGCACACCCGGAGAACUGAAACAUCUUAGUACCCGGAGGAAGAGAAAGAAAAUUCGAUCCCCUUAGUAGCGGCGAGCGAAACGGGAAGAGCCCAAACCAACAAGCUUGCUUGUUGGGGUUGUAGGACACUCUAUACGGAGUUACAAAGGACGACAUUAGACGAAUCAUCUGGAAAGAUGAAUCAAAGAAGGUAAUAAUCCUGUAGUCGAAAAUGUUGUCUCUCUUGAGUGGAUCCUGAGUACGACGGAGCACGUGAAAUUCCGUCGGAAUCUGGGAGGACCAUCUCCUAAGGCUAAAUACUCUCUAGUGACCGAUAGUGAACCAGUACCGUGAGGGAAAGGUGAAAAGCACCCCGGAAGGGGAGUGAAAUAGAACCUGAAACCGUGUGCUUACAAGUAGUCAGAGCCCGUUAAUGGGUGAUGGCGUGCCUUUUGUAGAAUGAACCGGCGAGUUACGAUUUGAUGCAAGGUUAAGCAGUAAAUGUGGAGCCGUAGCGAAAGCGAGUCUGAAUAGGGCGUUUAGUAUUUGGUCGUAGACCCGAAACCAGGUGAUCUACCCUUGGUCAGGUUGAAGUUCAGGUAACACUGAAUGGAGGACCGAACCGACUUACGUUGAAAAGUGAGCGGAUGAACUGAGGGUAGCGGAGAAAUUCCAAUCGAACCUGGAGAUAGCUGGUUCUCUCCGAAAUAGCUUUAGGGCUAGCCUCAAGUGAUGAUUAUUGGAGGUAGAGCACUGUUUGGACGAGGGGCCCCUCUCGGGUUACCGAAUUCAGACAAACUCCGAAUGCCAAUUAAUUUAACUUGGGAGUCAGAACAUGGGUGAUAAGGUCCGUGUUCGAAAGGGAAACAGCCCAGACCACCAGCUAAGGUCCCAAAAUAUAUGUUAAGUGGAAAAGGAUGUGGCGUUGCCCAGACAACUAGGAUGUUGGCUUAGAAGCAGCCAUCAUUUAAAGAGUGCGUAAUAGCUCACUAGUCGAGUGACACUGCGCCGAAAAUGUACCGGGGCUAAACAUAUUACCGAAGCUGUGGAUUGUCCUUUGGACAAUGGUAGGAGAGCGUUCUAAGGGCGUUGAAGCAUGAUCGUAAGGACAUGUGGAGCGCUUAGAAGUGAGAAUGCCGGUGUGAGUAGCGAAAGACGGGUGAGAAUCCCGUCCACCGAUUGACUAAGGUUUCCAGAGGAAGGCUCGUCCGCUCUGGGUUAGUCGGGUCCUAAGCUGAGGCCGACAGGCGUAGGCGAUGGAUAACAGGUUGAUAUUCCUGUACCACCUAUAAUCGUUUUAAUCGAUGGGGGGACGCAGUAGGAUAGGCGAAGCGUGCGAUUGGAUUGCACGUCUAAGCAGUAAGGCUGAGUAUUAGGCAAAUCCGGUACUCGUUAAGGCUGAGCUGUGAUGGGGAGAAGACAUUGUGUCUUCGAGUCGUUGAUUUCACACUGCCGAGAAAAGCCUCUAGAUAGAAAAUAGGUGCCCGUACCGCAAACCGACACAGGUAGUCAAGAUGAGAAUUCUAAGGUGAGCGAGCGAACUCUCGUUAAGGAACUCGGCAAAAUGACCCCGUAACUUCGGGAGAAGGGGUGCUCUUUAGGGUUAACGCCCAGAAGAGCCGCAGUGAAUAGGCCCAAGCGACUGUUUAUCAAAAACACAGGUCUCUGCUAAACCGUAAGGUGAUGUAUAGGGGCUGACGCCUGCCCGGUGCUGGAAGGUUAAGAGGAGUGGUUAGCUUCUGCGAAGCUACGAAUCGAAGCCCCAGUAAACGGCGGCCGUAACUAUAACGGUCCUAAGGUAGCGAAAUUCCUUGUCGGGUAAGUUCCGACCCGCACGAAAGGCGUAACGAUUUGGGCACUGUCUCAACGAGAGACUCGGUGAAAUCAUAGUACCUGUGAAGAUGCAGGUUACCCGCGACAGGACGGAAAGACCCCGUGGAGCUUUACUGUAGCCUGAUAUUGAAAUUCGGCACAGCUUGUACAGGAUAGGUAGGAGCCUUUGAAACGUGAGCGCUAGCUUACGUGGAGGCGCUGGUGGGAUACUACCCUAGCUGUGUUGGCUUUCUAACCCGCACCACUUAUCGUGGUGGGAGACAGUGUCAGGCGGGCAGUUUGACUGGGGCGGUCGCCUCCUAAAAGGUAACGGAGGCGCUCAAAGGUUCCCUCAGAAUGGUUGGAAAUCAUUCAUAGAGUGUAAAGGCAUAAGGGAGCUUGACUGCGAGACCUACAAGUCGAGCAGGGUCGAAAGACGGACUUAGUGAUCCGGUGGUUCCGCAUGGAAGGGCCAUCGCUCAACGGAUAAAAGCUACCCCGGGGAUAACAGGCUUAUCUCCCCCAAGAGUUCACAUCGACGGGGAGGUUUGGCACCUCGAUGUCGGCUCAUCGCAUCCUGGGGCUGUAGUCGGUCCCAAGGGUUGGGCUGUUCGCCCAUUAAAGCGGUACGCGAGCUGGGUUCAGAACGUCGUGAGACAGUUCGGUCCCUAUCCGUCGUGGGCGUAGGAAAUUUGAGAGGAGCUGUCCUUAGUACGAGAGGACCGGGAUGGACAUACCUCUGGUGUACCAGUUGUCGUGCCAACGGCAUAGCUGGGUAGCUAUGUGUGGACGGGAUAAGUGCUGAAAGCAUCUAAGCAUGAAGCCCCCCUCAAGAUGAGAUUUCCCAACUUCGGUUAUAAGAUCCCUCAAAGAUGAUGAGGUUAAUAGGUUCGAGGUGGAAGCAUGGUGACAUGUGGAGCUGACGAAUACUAAUCGAUCGAAGACUUAAUCAA
rnacentral:rRNA from 1 species